UACGGGGGGGGCAAGCGUUGUUCGGAAUUACUGGGCGUAAAGGGCUCGUAGGCGGCCAACUAAGUCAGACGUGAAAUCCCUCGGCUUAACCGGGGAACUGCAUCUGAUACUGGAUGGCUUGAGAUUGGGAGAGGGAUGCGGAAUUCCUGGUGUAGCGGUGAAAUGCGCAGAUAUCAGGAGGAACACCGGUGGCGAAGGCGGGUCUCUGGGCAAUAACUGACGCUGAGGAGCGAAAGCGUGGGGAGCGAACAGG
rnacentral:rRNA from 1 species